AGGCGGGAGAAAACCGGUUCACCGGAGUCCCGGUCUGAGGUGCAUUAAAUAGUCUAGGAUAACAUGGAUGGGGACUGCCUGAGGAUCCAUACGUCACUAAGAACAACAAGAAGUAAAUUGUGUCCACUUUGCAAGGAACAACAGCUGACUUCAGGAAAGAGGCCCUUCUUAUCACCACAACAGUGGGGGUGGUUCGAGCUGCACUGUUGGCGACAUCCAUAGCUAUUUGUAGGCUUGCUCGUGUGGAUGCGUAACCUUCCUGGACAAUGGAUUUGAGAAGUGGCCUUUUGGACUCUGGAAACGCUUCCAUUAAUGGAGUCAAUUUAGGAUAAUUGUCAAAAUUAUGGUUGGAUAAGUGAGCAAGGUAAUUCACUAUUCUUAGUAGUAAAGUCAAGGAAGUGUAUAGCUUCCUACUGAAUAAAUCCCAUCUUUUCACCUCUUUGUCUGAUGGAUUGGUUUUAAAUUAAGGCGCCUUUGCCCUCUGAUGGGCUGCCAGAACUACAAGGAAGUUGGGCUGUGGGUGAGAAAACAAGAACUCUGAGCCCUUAGGGGUGACAAAGUACUUUUUAUUGGAGCACUUGUUGGUUGGGAGGGCCGAAGCAGGUGUCUGCCACAACUCGUUGGCCACCUCUAAUAUCGCCUCAUCCAGAGGUAUAGCUAGUUUGGCACUCUGGGUUGUUUGUAAAUUCUUUAGCAGGCGAUGCUGUUUUUCUUUAAUCUCUUGUAACUGUAUUUGCUGUGAGGCCGCAACUCUUUAAAAAAAGGUCUUGAAACUGCCUCACAUCAUAUGGUGGAGAAACAUCACCUGCCUCAUCUGGUGUAACUGCCUCAUCUGGUGAGAAGGAAUGAUCCAUUGGGGAUACCUCUGGUGGCUGUGCAUCCUCUGUAUUCGGUUGUAUCUCA